rnacentral:lncRNA from 14 species
UGUGAUUCAGCAUUGCACUGGCUAGUCGUGGAAUACUUCAGUGGCUGUUCUCCAUAGCAUAUGUCAGAAGGAAGCAGUACCCUUAGCUUCCCUUUUGACUGCUGUUUUUCCUCUGGGGUACAGCUGUAAUGAAUAGUACUUUAUCUAGCAAGGAUUGUGGGAAGGACCACCUGGAGACACUGCCUCUUGUAGCAGCAAAUGCACAGAAGACAGAGUGGGGAGGAGUGCUCGCUGUACUCUUGGGAUGCCACCAGCCCUGUGGAAUCUCAGCACUGAAAACUGGUUGAAAAUGGACUUAGGAAAAACCACCCUGUGAUUGGAAUCUUCACUGUGGUCCUGCAGCAAACACCACCCAGGAUGGUUUCAGCACUUUGCCAACUCUGCUAAGUG